rnacentral:rRNA from 1 species
UACGAAGGGGGCUAGCGUUGCUCGGAUUUACUGGGCGUAAAGGGCGCGUAGGCGGAUGUUUAAGUCGGGGGUGAAAGCCCGGGGCUCAACCUCGGAAUUGCCUUCGAUACUGGACAUCUUGAGUACGGGAGAGGUGAGUGGAACUCCGAGUGUAGAGGUGAAAUUCGUAGAUAUUCGGAAGAACACCAGUGGCGAAGGCGGCUCACUGGCUCAUUGACUGACGCUCAGGCGCGACAGCGUGGGGAUCAAACAGG